rnacentral:rRNA from 1 species
CCUACGGGGGGCAGCAGUGAGGAAUAUUGGUCAAUGGGCGGAAGCCUGAACCAGCCAAGUCGCGUGAGGGAAUAAGGCCCUACGGGUCGUAAACCUCUUUUGCCGGGGAGCAAGGGCCGGGACGCGUCCCGGCCCGGAGAGUACCCGGCGAAACAGCAUCGGCUAACUCCGUGCCAGCAGCCGCGGUAAUACGGAGGAUGCGAGCGUUAUCCGGAUUUAUUGGGUUUAAAGGGUGCGUAGGCGGGCUUUUAAGUCAGCGGUAAAAAUUCGGGGCUCAACCCCGUCCGGCCGUUGAAACUGGGGGC